GUAGGUGGCAAGCGUUGUCCGGAAUUAUUGGGCGUAAAGCGCGCGCAGGCGGUUCUUUAAGUCUGAUGUGAAAGCCCACGGGCUCAACCGUGGAGGGUCAUUGGAAACUGGAGAACUUGAGUACAGAAGAGGAAAGCGGAAUUCCACGUGUAGCGGUGAAAUGCGUAGAGAUGUGGAGGAACACCAGUGGCGAAGGCGGCUUUCUGGUCUGUAACUGACGCUGAGGCGCGAAAGCGUGGGGAGCAAACAGGAUUAGAUACCCUGGUAGUCCGCGCCGUAAACGAUGAGUGCUAAGUGUUAGGGGGUUUCCGCCCCUUAGUGCUGCAGCUAACGCAUUAAGCACUCCGCCUGGGGAGUACGACCGCAAGGUUG
rnacentral:rRNA from 1 species